AGAUCUGGUCAGAUCUGAAUUUGUCGAAUUAAACCAGGAGCUUGGAAGCGAAUUUUUGAAUGAACCCAAUUGGGGGAUAUUUGGUUUAUACCAUGGUGAUAAACGAGAGAGGCAAUUCCUAAGUUGUGAUGCACUCAUACCUUUACUAGAUGCGAACGAUUCCGGAGAAGAAGAAGAAGUGGUUCGGACAAGGAUUUUAUUUAUAUUGACGGGAUUCUUAUAUUGAUGAAGUUGAAGAAGUCCAGGGACAAAUAAGCCAAG